CUGGUCACGAAGUAAAAUCAUGGCGGAUAUAGGGGGAUGUUUUCAUUCCUCAUAGUAAUUUUUGUUUCCGACAAAGAAAUUUGUACUCUCUCAAGAUAUCCCCUUUGUGUUUGAUGUUGUCAAUCCCGCAUGAAUUUGUGAUAAAAGAUGUCCCAACUUCAUCGUGAAUUGGAUCAACUCAAGGAGGUCUUUCAAAGCUCGACAGAAUCUCAGGAUUGGGAAAAAAGUGACAGAAUUAGUCAUUGCACUGACCAAGAAUUUGACUAUCUUCUUAAGAGGCUUAGGGCCAAUGU